rnacentral:tRNA from 1 species
AAAUAAAUUAAUAAUUAGUUUCGACCUAAUUCAUGAAAAUUAUAAAUUUUCUUUAUUUA